AAAAAAAAAAAAGAUAAGCAAACAUGAAUCACCAUCGGUCAUUUUCUACCUUGCAAAUUCAGUUCCUAGCUCAGUAAAUAGGUGUUGAAAGAAUAAAAGGAUUGGCUGGGUGCGGUGGCUUACGCCCGUAAUCCCAGCACUUUGGGAGGCCGAGGCGGGCGGAUCACGAGGUCAGGAGAUCGAGACCAUCCCGGCCAACAUGGUGAAACCCCGUCUCUACUAAAAAUACAAAAAAUUAGCCGGGCGUGGUGGCGGGCGCCUGUAGUCCCAGCUACUCGGGAGGCUGAGGCAGGAGAAUGGCGUGAACCCGGGAGGCGGAGCUUGCAGUGAGCUGAGAUCGCACCACUGCACUCCAGCCUGGGAGACAGAGCAAGACUCCGUCUCA
rnacentral:lncRNA from 1 species